UACAGAGGGGGCAAGCGUUGUUCGGAAUUACUGGGCGUAAAGGGCGCGUAGGCGGCCCGCUAAGUCGAACGUGAAAUCCCCGAGCUCAACUCGGGAACUGCGUCCGAUACUGGCGGGCUUGAAUCCGGGAGAGGGAUGCGGAAUUCCAGGUGUAGCGGUGAAAUGCGUAGAUAUCUGGAGGAAUACCGGUGGCGAAGGCGGCGACCUGGUCCGAUACUGACGCUGAGGCGCGAAAGCGUGGGGAGCAAACAGG
rnacentral:rRNA from 1 species